UUCUUCUGCCUCAGACUCCCGUGUAGCUGGGACUACAGUUUAGAGUAAAUGGAUGUGAAAAACUCCACAAAAAUCACUAGACAGAAAUCUAAACACAUGAAGGAUGUCAGAUUGUAUAAUGAGGAAACCAGUUCUCAUUUUCACCAAGACUGCCCAAAUUUAAUACGUGUGCUUCAAGCUUCAGUAUCCUUCUAAGUAAUAGGCUGCUAUGUGUCUUACUUUUUUGUUUGUCAAAUGGGGGCAAGGGCAUUGUGAAACUUAUAAUUUCGUUCUGCUCAACUGACUGUAAUAAUAUUAAUUGAAAUGGCUACAAUUUACUGUGAUAUUAAAAGUUGGAAUUUUCUACUGUUUCUAA